GACGAACGCUGGCGGCGUGCCUAAUACAUGCAAGUCGAGCGGACGAUUCGAAAGCUUGCUUUUGAAUCGUUAGCGGCGGACGGGUGAGUAACACGUGGGCAACCUGCCCUGUAGACGGGGAUAACACCGAGAAAUCGGUGCUAAUACCGGAUAACACGAAAUGUCGCAUGACGUUUCGUUGAAAGGCGGCGCAAGCUGCCGCUACAGGAUGGGCCCGCGGCGCAUUAGCUAGUUGGUGAGGUAACGGCUCACCAAGGCGACGAUGCGUAGCCGACCUGAGAGGGUGAUCGGCCACACUGGGACUGAGACACGGCCCAGACUCCUACGGGAGGCAGCAGUAGGGAAUCUUCCGCAAUGGACGAAAGUCUGACGAAGCAACGCCGCGUGAGCGAAGAAGGCCUUCGGGUCGUAAAGCUCUGUUGUUAGGGAAGAACAAGUAACGUAGUAACUGACGUUACUAUGACGGUACCUAACGAGAAAGCCACGGCUAACUACGUG
rnacentral:rRNA from 1 species